GAGGAUGACGCUAUGGUUUUGUCGCCCCAGUCUUAGAUUCGUACUUCCAUAUCUAUGCCGAUUGAUAUGUUAAAUUUGACUC
rfam:Zea mays cultivar B73 chromosome 3, whole genome shotgun sequence.